ACGGAAGGCAGCAGUGAGGAAUAUUGGUCAAUGGACGAGAGUCUGAACCAGCCAAGUAGCGUGCAGGAUGACGGCCCUAUGGGUUGUAAACUGCUUUUGUUGGGGAAUAAAAUGCGGGACGUGUCCCGCUUUGCAUGUACCCUUCGAAUAAGGACCGGCUAAUUCCGUGCCAGCAGCCGCGGUAAUACGGAAGGUCCGGGCGUUAUCCGGAUUUAUUGGGUUUAAAGGGAGCGUAGGCCGAACGUUAAGCGUGUUGUGAAAUGUAGUUGCUCAACAUCUGCACUGCAGCGCGAACUGGCGAUCUUGAGUGCGCGGGAAGUUGGCGGAAUUCGUUGUGUAGCGGUGAAAUGCUUAGAUAUGACGAAGAACUCCGAUUGCGAAGGCAGCUGACUGUAGCGUUACUGACGCUGAAGCUCGAAAGUGCGGGUAUCGAACAGGAUUAGAUACCCUGGUA
rnacentral:rRNA from 1 species